AAUUGUGUGUAAAAAAAACUCAAGUAAAGUAAUGAAUAUCAAAAAGUCAGGAAGUGUUUAGCGAAAUUUAGCUAAAAUCUAAACAGUACAGGAAUUAUAGGAGCGCACAUAGUCCGCUGUGGAAGGGAAUUGAGUGCAUGCAAAUUCCAUUAUAAAACCUGGCCCCUGUCGCCACCACCUUCCGGAAAUGAGGAAUGUAGACCAAUUGGUCGUAUCAGAUAAUACUAAAGUGAAGUAUUUGGUUCUAGUCUGCAAACAAAUUUCUGAAAAUAUUUUAUUAAAAAAGAACAGUGAAGUAAGAAACAACGAACGCAAACAAAAACUAUCGCGACUUAAAAUUUAAAAUUAUAAUAUAUUCAUAUUUAUGUGUUAAUUUUCUUAUGAAAAUUUAAUGUAAUAAAUAUAUACAUAAGACCAUCAGUUCAAAGUAUUGAGUGCAACGAGAAAAAAAUUCAGAAAAAAGGAUUUAUGCUGUCAUUAAAAGAAGCAAAUUAUCAAUACUCUGGAACACUAAGUGAUUUGAAUUUUGGAAUACAAUAUUAGAAGCAGCUUGAACUGUUACAUUUUUUAUGAAAAUAAUCCUUAGGUGCUAAUUUAGUGAAUAAGAAAAUUUUAAGUACAAUAAAAAAGUUAUCAACCGCAACAGCAACAACAACAACCACAAAACAACUAGUAUAACUCAAAGGAAUAAAGCGAGAAA